rnacentral:piRNA from 1 species
GGAGUACGCCCGAGGACCUCAGA